GACGAACGCUGACGGUGUGCUUUAGACAUGCAAGUCGAACGAGAAAGCCCUUCGGGGUUAGUAAAGUGGCGAACGGGUGAGUAACACGUGGGCAAUCUGCCCCUCGCAGGGGGACAACCGGAGGAAACCCCGGCUAAUACCCCGUAAGUUCAAAGGGAGGCAUCUCCCCUUGAAGAAAGGUAGCUUCGGCCAUCCGGCGAGGGAUGAGCCCGCGGUGCAUUAGCUAGUUGGUGGGGUAACGGCCCACCAAGGCGACGANGCAUAGCUGGCCUGAGAGGAUGAUCAGCCACACUGGGACUGAGACACGGCCCAGACUCCUACGGGAGGCAGCAGUCGGGAAUCUUGCGCAAUGGGCGAAAGCCUGACGCAGCAACA
rnacentral:rRNA from 1 species